GACGGAGGAUGCGAGCGUUAUCCGGAAUGAUUGGGCGUAAAGCGUCCGCAGGUGGCAGUUCAAGUCUGCUGUCAAAGACCGGGGCUUAACUUCGGAAAGGCAGUGGAAACUGAACAGCUAGAGUAUGGUAGGGGCAGAGGGAAUUCCUGGUGUAGCGGUGAAAUGCGUAGAGAUCAGGAAGAACAUCGGUGGCGAAGGCGCUCUGCUGGACCAUAACUGACACUCAGGGACGAAGCUAGGGGAGCGAAUGGG
rnacentral:rRNA from 1 species